rnacentral:rRNA from 1 species
UACGAAGGGGGCUAGCGUUGUUCGGAUUUACUGGGCGUAAAGCGCACGUAGGCGGUUUGUUAAGUGAGAGGUGAAAUCCCAGAGCUCAACUCUGGAACUGCCUUUCAUACUGGCAAGCUAGAGUCCGGAAGAGGUAAGUGGAACUCCUAGUGUAGAGGUGGAAUUCGUAGAUAUUAGGAAGAACACCCGUGGCGAAGGCGGUUCUCUGGGACGGUACUGACGCUGAGACGCGAAAGCGUGGGGAGCGAACAGG